rnacentral:rRNA from 1 species
CUACAGGGGUUUCUAAUCCUGUUUGCUCCCCACGCUUUCGUGCCUGAACGUCGGUGCUGGACCAGGAAGCCGCUUUCGCCACUGAUGUUCCUUCCGAUAUCUACGCAUUUCACCGCUACACCGGAAAUUCCGCUUCCCUCUUCCGCACCCUAGCGACGCAGUCUCGAAUGCAAUUCCCAGGUUGAGCCCGGGGCUUUCACACCCGACUUACACCACCGUCUACGCACGCUUUACGCCCAGUAAUUCCGAUUAACGCUUGCACCCUUCGUAUUACCGCGGCUGCUGGCAC